rnacentral:rRNA from 1 species
GCAGAGCAUCCUACGGGAGGCAGCAGUGGGGAAUAUUGCACAAUGGGCGCAAGCCUGAUGCAGCCAUGCCGCGUGUAUGAAGAAGGCCUUCGGGUUGUAAAGUACUUUCAGCAGUGAGGAAGGUGGGUAUGUUAAUAGCAUACUCAUUUGACGUUAGCUGCAGAAGAAGCACCGGCUAACUCCGUGCCAGCAGCCGCGGUAAUACGGAGGGUGCGAGCGUUAAUCGGAAUUACUGGGCGUAAAGCGCAUGCAGGUGGUUUGUUAAGUCAGAUGUGAAAGCCCGGGGCUCAACCUCGGAAUUGCAUUUGAAACUGGCAAACUAGAGUACUGUAGAGGGGGUAGAAUUUCAGGUGUAGCGGUGAAAUGCGUAGAGAUCUGAAGGAAUACCCGGUGGCGAAGGCGGCCCCCUGGACAGAUACUGACACUCAGAUGCGAAAGCGUGGGGAGCAAACAGGAUUAGAUACCCUGGUAG